CCUACGGGAGGCAGCAGUGAGGAAUAUUGGUCAAUGGGCGCAAGCCUGAACCAGCCAUGCCGCGUGAAGGAUGACGGCUCUAUGGGUUGUAAACUUCUUUUAUACAGGAAUAAAGUAAGAUACGUGUUCCUUCUUGAAAGUACCUUAUGAAUAAGGAUCGGCUAACUCCGUGCCAUCAGCCGCGGUAAUACGGAGGAUCCGAGCGUUGUCCGGAUUUAUUGGGUUUAAAGGGAGCGUAGAAGGUUUGUUGAGUUAGUUGUGAAACUUGGCGGCUCAACGGUAGAAGUGCAAUUGAUACUGGCAGUCUAGAGUACAGGUGAGGUAGGCGGAAUUCGUGGUGUAGUGGUGAAAGGCGUAGAUAUCACGAAGAACUCCGAUUGCGAAGGCAGCUUACUAAACUGCCACUGACGUUGAGGCACGAAAGUGUGGGGAGCAAACAGGAUUAGAUACCCGUGUAGUC
rnacentral:rRNA from 1 species